rnacentral:rRNA from 1 species
GAACGGCAUCGCGGGAAAGCUUGCUUUCCUGGCGGCGAGUGGCGAACGGGUGAGUAACACAUCGGAACGUACCGGCUAGUGGGGGAUAACCCGUCGAAAGACGGGCUAAUACCGCAUACGCUCUUCGGAGGAAAGCAGGGGACCUUCGAGCCUUGCGCUAGUCGAGCGGCCGAUGUCCGAUUAGCUAGUUGGUGGGGUAAAGGCCUACCAAGGCGACGAUCGGUAGCGGGUCUGAGAGGACGAUCCGCCACACUGGGACUGAGACACGGCCCAGACUCCUACGGGAGGCAGCAGUGGGGAAUCUUGGACAAUGGGGGCAACCCUGAUCCAGCAAUGCCGCGUGGGUGAAGAAGGCCUUCGGGUUGUAAAGCCCUUUCGGCAGGGAAGAAAUCGGCGGGGCGAAUAACCCUGCUGGAUGACGGUACCUGCAGAAGAAGCACCGGCUAACUACGUG